AUUGAACGCUGGCGGCAGGCCUAACACAUGCAAGUCGAACGAGUGGCGGACGGGUGAGUAAUGUCUGGGAAACUGCCCGUGGGAGGGGGAUAACUACUGGAAACGGUGGAUAAUCCCGCAUACUAUCGGCUGAACCCAUUAGUGAUUAGCUAGUAGGUGGGGUAAAGGUUCACCUAGGCGACGAUCUCCCGCUGGUCUGAGAGGAUGAUCAUCUACACUGGAACUGAGACCCGGUCCAUACUCCUACGGGAGGCAGCGGUGGGGAAUAUUGCACAAUGGGCGCAAUCCUGAUGCAGCCAUGCCGCUUGAAUGAAGAAGGCCUUAGGGUUUUAAAGUACUUUCAGCGGGGAGGCGUUACCCGCAGAAGAAGCACCGGCUAACUCCGUGCCAGCAGCCGCGGUAAUAC
rnacentral:rRNA from 1 species